UUUCAGUGAUGCAAUAAUGUGGAGUUCGUAAGUAACAGCAGUGAAGCUGGGUAGGGCUCUCUUGGUGGGGGAGGUAUUUCAAUAUCUGGAGAGAGUGUGUGGCUGCUGGAUAGAAGAUUGAGUAGACAUAAAUCUUGACAAAUAAUGAUCAACAAAUGGUAACAAUGGCAGUGAAGCCAACACAGCUACCAUGGGCUCUUCACCUUGUUCCUGUCUCCAGAGCAUCACAUCUUUUCAAGAAUGGACAAUGUAUGAUGCAGUUCUGAUCUUAUCACAACAUGUAUAACAUCUGGAAGAACUGCCACUUGUCAAGUCAACCAAGGCGCUGCUGACAGACAAAUUAACGCGCUAUUUGUCACUGUUUUGUCUCAAUUGCCUUCCACAAAAUAUCUUUGAAGUGAUGCAUCAGAGGAGUGGAUUCACAACCAGUUUUCCAACAGCUCCCUCACUGCAUCUACAAGUCCAGACCCUGCAACUACAGAUGAGAUUCACCAUAGAACAUGCAGCGAGUUAUCACAUGUGUAUGGAUUUCUACUAUGCCAGUGAACACAUUUUCACUGACAUUUCCACCCUGCAUAUUAAACCUCAUAUUUCACAUAUCUGCAAAGAAGACCAGGUUUGGUUACCAUGAAUGGGCCACAUUAUGUUUUUAUAUGUUAUUCAAUCUCCUACAGGCUUUUAUCCAAACCAAGCAACUAAAAUAAAACAUGGCUUCCUUCCCCGAGAUGGUUUCAUAGCUCAGCUCUCCAACUUUCUCUCCUACCACAAACACGCAACACAAUUGUGCAACAGCCUAGGAAGAAAUGGUGAGAUCAGAGCCGUGACUGCAGACAUCCUGACAUGGGGAUCUGGCAGCUAUUCAACACAAACACAAUUAGAGGACUUACCCUUGCGUGAAGUAUUUGCUUUCUUGAUAGUCACCAGCCUUAACCUCUAGGAAUGCUUACGAAUCAGAUAGUGUUCCUUAAAGAAGGGUGAGCUUUUUCAAGCUCCUCUGUCUUGUUUUAGCCAACACAGAUGUAAAGAAGAAAGAAAUUCCACCAUAUCGUACAACUUCUCCAAGUGAAAGCAUUUCAGAGGACAGAAGAGCUGUGAUCUCAAAAUUUCUGCCAAGGAUUCAAUAACCAAAUUUGAGAACAUGAUACUUAUUCCCUUCCCCUUUCAUUAUGACUAGCAUGAAAAAAUAACAGCACAACAGGCAAGCUUUGGAAUUCACACCAAAUGUGAAAGUAGGAGCUCUCUGAGUCCUACAUAUUGGCUUCAUGUUACUGUAGGCUUCUCUUGCACUGCUUAUCCCACAGAAUGAUGGCAGGGUUUUGCGUAUCUUAGGAAACUUGGAGGAUGUGUGUGUCUGCAUAUCUCUUUGUGACCUUGCUCAUGCUUUCAGAAAAUGUAGCCUAAUAUACAUGUGUGUUAUCCAACCUACCAUGAAACCUAAAGCAUAACAGCACAAGUAUUUUGGUAGUUCUAUUUCUACUCAUGGUAAAUCCAGGGCUUUUCACAGAGGUAAUGAAAUCUUAGCAAAGGCAACAACAGUUGACCUCAUAUAAAGUAACUGCUAGCAAAUAAGCCAAAUGUCGGUCUGGGAGAGCAGUUACAAAGGGAAAUUCAUGUUUUAAAAUGCCCAAGGAUUUAUAUUAUUCUCAACGUAAGCUGUGCUAGUGACUCAAAAUUACUGGACAGAAGAAGUAAACAACCUCAGAGGUAUAAUGUAGCAGUUCUGAGAGGAAGGCUACGUAGGGGGAUUUCCAGAUGAUGCCAUGAGAAGUGCCACGACUACCACGGGUACUACAAUUUACAGAGACGCUUAAUAGAGCAAAUUAGCCAAGCUAAGCAGAGUGCAACACAAAGGAUGUACUGCUACUACAACUCCAUGUAACUUAUUCAAUUUCUGCCAGGUGUCUCCAUAUAGCACUUAUCCCACAGGAAAAAAAAUCACAGAAAAAUUUGCAGAGUCUAUCAUAAUGAUAUAAUAUAAAGGAAAAUAAUAAUUAUAGAAAAUGGUAAGAAUGCCUCCAGUGCAGAAAUUCUGGGCUGAACUUAGAGUUGCUGAACUGUAUGACCUGCAUGAGCUAACCCUCCACCUCAGAGCAUGAGCACUUAUUCAAGAAAUGACAUUCAAAUGUUUUAUGACCUUGAGCAGCAGCUUAACAUCUGUAGGAGGAACAGUUGUGCAUUGUAGCUGCCUUCCCAAGCGAUUAAAUGCACUCUUCCAUUGUUAGUAACUUUCAAAUAACAGCAAUUUAAAAAGCAGAAGAGAAUGCCAAAAUAUCAGAGAUCUGAAUCCAGUCAGAACAAGAUGCUCCCAGUAAUAUUUCUAACGCUAUGAAAUUUCCUCCCCUCCCCAGAAUCCAGGGAAAUAUCUUGCACAGUAUGAGGAGAAUAACAAUAAUGCCUCAACCUGAAAUUAAUGGUCACCAAGUUCCAACUAAAAGAGCUGAUUUAUGUUAUUUGGGUGCACAUGGAAAGAACAGGUUAUGUUGAAGACAUGGACUGCCUAGCUAUCGUAGCAUUGAUCUUAAAGCAGGGGCAUUAAGCAAGCAAAUACAGCAGAAGAAAUUAUUUCUGGGGCAGCUCUGUUUACAUCUGCAGACCUACCCAAGCCAAGAAGUCAUCCCAAAAUAAAUUAAAAAAAAACCUGUCAACUAGAUAUGAAUGGUUUCUGGUCUUGACUUUUUGUAACUCCACUAAAAAAGCACAGUAUAAAUCUGCAACUCUGUAUCCGGGCAGUAAUUGAAAUACAUCAAGAAAAUGUUUGCAGUCAUUCCAGAUGGGGGAAA